CAUACCGCUUGCUAGAAAUGAAAUGCCUACCUAGCAGAAUGGGCUUCAGUUACUAGAUUCACGUGGUUGAUCAGCAAGGCAAUUUUCAACUUUUUUUUCCUGCUCUUGAUCUACCAAUCCUAUAAAUGCGGCCACCUAAACUUUCCCAAAAAACAAAUUGGAUAUUGAAACAACGUGAGUCCUCCAUUAAAUAUUUUCUAAUUAUUGACUCCUGGUCCUGGAUCUGGGCUCGCUAUCGUAAGAUGGCAUUUCUUACCUCCUGUACACUUUUGUAACGGUAUUAGAUGUGGGCUUAUCGGGCUUUCCAAAGUUGAUUAGAUUACAUUCACAAGUGGGCCUAAUUGGAUUCGAGGUAUCGUCCUCUAGCUAGUUGAGCCCAUCUCGGCAACAUAGCCCAAUAAAAUUAGGGUUUCAUAUCAUUAGUAUUUAACUCCCGGCGAAGCCCCUAAACGUAGCAGCUCUCUCUAUCAUUCUCCGCAGCCUCUAGGAUUCUGAAUCAAAAGAAAGAAGGAACACAGAGCUUGGAUACUGUGACACCAUGAGAGCCAAGUGGAAGAAGAAGCGUAUGAGGAGGUUGAAGAGGAAGCGCCGAAAGAUGAGGCAGAGAUCCAAGUAGUUUUCUAUUUUAUCAAUAAUAGUGAAAGUUGUCUUUCGUUUUAGUAUUUCUUGUUUCAGUUAUCAGUACUACUUUCAACUGAGUAGAUUAUUUCCGUUUUAAAUUUCAUGAUUUUGUUAGACUUUCAAACUGGAUGGAAAUGGGAUUUUGGUUUUGCUUAUUGGGCUUCAAUGCUGUGUUAUUAUGAUGA